GACGAACGCUGGCGGCGUGCUUAACACAUGCAAGUCGAACGGAAAGGCCCUGCUUUUGUGGGGUGCUCGAGUGGCGAACGGGUGAGUAACACGUGAGUAACCUGCCCUUGACUUUGGGAUAACUUCAGGAAACUGGGGCUAAUACCGGAUAGGAGCUCCUGCUGCAUGGGGGGGGUUGGAAAGUUUCGGCGGUUGGGGAUGGACUCGCAGCUUAUCAGCUUGUUGGUGGGGUAGUGGCUUACCAAGGCUUUGACGGGUAGCCGGCCUGAGAGGGUGACCGGCCACAUUGGGCCUGAGAUACGGCCCAGACUCCUACGGGAGGCAGCAGUGGGGAAUAUUGCACAAUGGGCGGAAGCCUGAUGCAGCAACGCCGCGUGCGGGAUGACGGCCUUCGGGUUGUAAACCGCUUUCGCCUGUGACGAAGCGUGAGUGACGGUAAUGGGUAAAGAAGCACCGGCUAACUACGUG
rnacentral:rRNA from 1 species